rnacentral:tRNA from 1 species
CUAGAUUAGCAGGCCUCGAUCCUACAAUAUAUUAGUUAACAACUAAACACCCAAGCCAGCGGGCCUUAAUCUA